UUCUCAGAGAGGAAGAGCUGAGGGCACGACAGUACAGCGCCCUAUUCAGGCUCAGAGAGAAAGCGCUUUGAGAAAAGACCCAAGCUGAACUUGAAUGGCUGGAGCAUUGCAUAAGGCAUGGAGCAGCACCGAAUGAUGAUUUUGCCUUGGCUGAACACAGACGUAAGCAGGAAGCAGUUGUCCACCGAUUCCGACAAGAACAGGCAGAGAUCCACCACUGGCGAAACAUUUACAGAUCAGGCCGACAACAGAGACGAUUGUUACUUCACCAUCAGAGAGACAUACUUAAAAUCAAGAAGUCGACGAUUCACUUCAAACAAGUAUUGCAAGAACAGAGCGUGCCAAAGAAAUCCCAAAACCUCAGGACAGAGAACCCUGCAAAGGAGGAAGAAAGUGUUAUGCAUCCUGGGAUUAUGGCAGAUGCCAGAGGCGCC